UGGUGUAAAAGUCAACUUCUUUCCAAAACUUUCUUUUAAGAACCUGAAAGCUAUAGCUCUGAUCCAGGACCAUCACACUGUACAUUACAAUCUGACUCACCCAGUCAUCUCAGGCAUUCAUUGCUCAUUACAUUCCUUAAUGGAAGAGUAUUGACAAUAUGCACUCAGAGUUCUUAACAACCCAUUAGGAUUCAAAAUGUCAGUGUGAGAUCAGCGUUAAGUAACAAAUACUUCACUUUCUCUGAUGGAGCUCACAUGAUUCACAUUAAAGUCAACACAAACAAUACAAAAGUUUUAACAUCCAUGACAAUUUGUUUCUCGCUCACUGACUUGAGAGCUGCUGACCGGCAUUGUGCUCCGUGCUGCCCCUGGCGGUUUGGAAGCUAUACUGCUGGGAGAGAGUCCAUGGCUGAAGAAAGACGCUGAAGACCAUCACUGAACAGAAACAGGGUUUACCUACAAUCUCCACAACCUGUUAUCACGUGAGGUUCUACACUUACCUUACAUGAUGACAACUGAGCUGUCUCCAUGACAACGGACCAAACUCCUAAUGAAGAUGAGAUGUGGUCAAAAGCUCCAGAAAAAAAAAACAGCAGUAAAGUGGUUCUUGAGUUGAGAUGAUGUAGUCCAACGAAACUGAGUGUUUCUGUUCAGAGACACUGUGGAGAACAGCCUCGGGCCUUUUUCGUUAUGUGAGGCCAGACAUUGACCUGGAUUUCACAUUGGGAUCUUAUUUGAAAAAAACAUAAUUAUUUACAAUACUUUAAAAUCCAUUAUAUAAAAGGAGGGGAUAUUGAGGGUGAAGGGAGCAACGGGGGCGAAUGCAGGCCCGGCAAGAGAAGUUGAAUAUGGGUUAAGGACCUCUUGGGCAGCAUCUCUUGAACAAAGGUUAAACAGCGUGACCACAAGGCAGGCAGAGGGCCUGCUCAAGAGUGAAGCUUGUGUGAGACAGAACUGCAUCAAAACGUCCCAAAUUGUCCCAGUCACCUGCAUUUCCCUCCUCACUCGCAGGCAAUGCCUGUUUGAAGUGGCUGCCAGACCAGACCAUAAACUGUGCUGAGGGAGAGGAGGGCAGGGGAAGUAGAGUCCAGCUGAGUAUAUAUCAGUGAAGCCUACAACCAGCUGCAGAGCAUAGGAAGAGCAGAGUGAAUCUGAUCUGACGGAUCUGUGAAUAAGAUGGGAUUUCUUAACAUAGAAGUCCAAAGGGAACAAAUGGGAACAUGUACAUGUGAAAUUCCAGUGACUCAUCAGCACCCGAAAUACCGUGUCUAUUUUUGAACACCUGGCUAUGAAUAAAGACAGUGUGUUGUUUCUUGAUAUUUCCUGUGAUUCGAGAGGAAACAAAUGUGUAUAAUAAAAGAAAAGCUUGCUUUAGA